rnacentral:lncRNA from 1 species
UCAUAAUCUUCCAUCCAUAAUCAAUCUUUCAAUAACUUUUCAUAUAAUUCAAUCACUCAGUACUCCAAUUACAUAAUCAAUAAUUCAUAAAUCAAUCUCUGAUUUAUUCCACAGACUCACUUCUCAGUAUUCAGAAACUAUCCAUUAUUCUUCAACAAUAAAGAAAAUAAAAAAAAAACAAAGAAGAAGCACCAAGCUUAACCUCGACUCAUGACUAUUAUAGUUUGGCAUUUUCUUCCUCUCUCUCAUCCUCCUUAUACUACCUCGAGAUACCAACUCCUACACUAUGGAUGAUAACUACUUUUCAUGACUAUUCAUCCAUUCUACUUGUUGAACCACCUUUCUAGCAGUUAUCUAUCCCUGUUUACACUAUACACUAGAUAUCUACAUUCUGAAAAUAACUACUUAUUUUACAUACCUCCACUCCUAACUAUGCAACGUCUCCACAAAUACAGUAUUGAUAAACUAAAACCAUUUUUUAUUUUUUUUUAUUUUUUUAUUUUUUUUAACCGGAUUAUUCAAUCUCUUCAAUUUCUGGCGCUGGCUCCAUUUGGUCUUGUUCCAAUACUAUAUCUUCUUUCUUCGACUCGUCUUGAAUCUUUACUCUUAAUUGAGCUAUUAAAUCUUCAUUAUACGCUCCCAAUUCUUGAACCUGAGCUUCCAAUUGGAGUAUUCUGGCAUCUUUAGCUUCCAGUUGUUGUUGCUGUUGUUGCAAUUUCUCUUUUAAUUUUUUAAUUCUUACUCUCGUUGAGGUAGAUGUCUGUGACUGACCAAUACUGAUCAAAUCACUCUCCAAUUUUGUUACUAUUUCCUUCAAAAUAAUAAUUUCUGUAUAUAGCUCAUCCGUUUUGUUUCGAUAUUGGUCAUCCAAUUGUUUCUUUUUAAGCUCCAAUGCCUCCUUCUUCUCUCGUUCCAUCUUCAAUUGAGCGUUCAUCUUUUCCUGUUCCAAUCUAUAUGAUUUACAAAUUUGUAGUAAUUCUAGCCUUUGAUUUUUCAAGUUAUGUUGAAUUCUUUGUUUCUCCUUUUACUAGUUUUCCACUCUCUCAUCCAAUCCAUCCUUCACUCGCAUCUUGGAUUCUGAUUCUACCUUGAUGACUUGUUCAUGUUCUCUGAUUUUAUAAUUUUACUCCAAUAUUGUUUUCUUGCUCGCUUCCACUUGUCUUUUUAAGCUACCUUCAUCUUCGAGCUUACUCAUCGUAAGUUGCAGUUGGAAAAUUUGAUCCAAUAUAACUUUCUUAAGAUUCUACCCUUCCGUUACACCCCGUUGAAAUCCUAAUUGGUUGCUUUCCUUUGGAACUGGUAUUGGUGUUGUCAUCUCUAUUAUUGGCCGAAUUGGAACUCACUUUAGUGUAGAUAUUGGUCUUGCUUUUCGUUGUCAUAUUAUAAAUACUUACAGUAUGUAAAAAUAAGUUAAAACAUAUUAUAUGUUGAUAAAUCUAGAUGUAUGUUAGAGUGGCUAGUAGAUUAAAUUAAAAGGAGUUGGAAUAAAAAACUUUACUUUGUUUCUUUAUUUCUUUUGAUUUUGACAUUAAAUAUAUAUAUAUAUAUAUAUAUAUAGGACCUAAAUGUUUAGUAUAAAGCCUUGGGAGAAGGUAGAAGCCUAAAGAUGAAGAUUUAAACUAAUAGGAGGUUAAUUGAGAGGGAUGAAACCAAAGCAUGGUUGGAUGAAGGUAGAAAUAAGGAUCUUCAUCCCCAUUGGUCGAAAUCCAUGUCCAAUGGACUUUUAGGAGGCUGCCCGCGACCUUGAUAAGGGUUUCGGCGACUUAAAAGAGGUCAUUAGGAAAUCAAAGGCAAGGGUUGUAAAGUUUAGGAUCUUGGCUACAAUUUUUGUGCAAAUUUUAUAGGGUUUGGAGUUAGGGUGAAUAAGUUAUAGCCGUUUGAAGUUAAGGUGUCAAUUUGAGACCUACUGUUACUCUAUUGAGUUUAAGAGGAGUCUUACGGAAGCUUUUGGAGAUCGGUAGGUGCGGCUGGAAGAGCAACUUCGAGACAUACAUUUUAUGUGAAGAAAAUUUUGCAUUUGGAGUUUAUGUGAAGGAGUUAUAGGGAGUUAAAGACAACGCAUUCAAAUCAAAGGCAGUAAGUGAGUGGUUUUGUUCAAAGUAGUGUUAGGAGCCAUAACUUGAGUUUUCGAACGAAAUUUUGGCUCAAACUUUGGAAGAAUGUAAACAUUUGUGUUAAGAAGCUAUCUAUAUAAGUUUCAUGGCAUUUGCACGUACGGUUUGUGAGAUAUGAAGAAAAUUGUGCGCGGGUAUAUAAAGAAUAGGGUUUGAAGCGAUUGUUAGGGUUUUGAGGAUAUCUCAAGAUCUGCGACGAAUUUGCGGUUGAAAUUUGUUGUAAAAAUUAAUAAUAACAUAUCAGUACUUCAUGUAAAUUUUUAUCUUGUUUGGACGGUUGGAUCAAGAGUUAUGAGCUGUUGAGGUUCGGGUGAAUUUCCACAUAAGGAUAUACAAGGUUUUAGAGUACUUCUACCAUAAUUUGGGUGUUGUUGGUUAUUUAAGACUUAAGUAUUUGGUGUAAUUGUCCCAAAAGGAAAAAUUAUAAAUAUAAAAUUAGGGUUUCCUUAUUUUACACUUGAUUGAGCUAUUAGUGACAGCCAAAAGCCCAGCGCUUUCUUGAGGCAAAACCUCUCUACUCUGACACCGUUCUGCUGCUUUACUGGAUUUUUCUACUUCAUACACCAUUACCCCUAGACUAACUAUUCCCGUUUGUAAACUUAGAAUUACUGGUUGAAAUUCUUGUUUCAAUGUAUACUCAAUCACUGAGUUUACAUAAUUAGAACAUAAUAGUGAAGCAAACUUUCUUGUCUUCCACUUAGCUCCUAUUUCUGCAUGUAUCCUUAUGGCCACAUAAGCUGUCCAAUUGAAUACCAUGCCUUCCAAUGUUUCUAUCGCGGAAAACAGUAAUCACUUUGCCAUAUAGGUGGUAUGCCGAUUUAAUGCUAACCACUUCUGAACAAACCGCAUCCAUUUUAUAAGUUCGGACGUAAGUACCUCCUGGACCUUCCAUCCUUGAUUUCGCUUGAGAGACAACAUUCCUCUUUUGAAGUAGCUUCCUGGCUUGAAGUCAUUUGAUGCAUCUCGUCCCACCUCAAGCUCUCCGGUUUGUAAAUGCAAGACCUUGUGUAAGAUAUUCUCAUCUAUGCCAAUAAGGACUCCUCUUACUAUACUCGAACCAUCUUCUAGAUCAUAAUUUUCUAGAUAUUCUACUACUCGUUCUACAUCAAUUAGUGGUAGUUUAUUCGACCCUCACAAAAACGUAAAUAAAUGUGCAUUUCUAAAAUCUUUUUACCUUUUCAAUGAUUAACAGAUAUCUAACUUCAUCGGUUCCGUAUUGGUGAUAACUACAAGAGACAGCGAUUCCAAAUCGCACUUAGAAAGUCAUAUUGCGAUGAUUUUCCAAUUGUUUUGGUGCUCUCUUCACUCUUUCUAUCGACAUGACGAAAAUCAAACUCUCAAUACUUCCUCGCGCUAAUACUACUACUGAUUACUAUCGUAAAGCUUAUAGUUCAAAGCACAAUGUCUGAAAUUUACAACAAUGAAACCUUCUAUGAAUGCCCCACUCCUAACUGCUUACUUGAGGUCCGAAUCAAGAAUGUCUAAUCUAGUAUACCUUAAUCUCAAGUCUAAUCAAGAAUGUCUAAUUUCUUGACUAGUCAAUUUCAGUAUCCAAAACUAACCAUCAAUCGUUUCUUAGCUAUCAUAAUCUUUUCAAUCCUGUCGGGUAAUCAUUAUUACAGAGACUCCCUCCCGCCACUAAGUAAAUCCAUCUCGGAUUUAUAUAUAAUAUAGACGUAACCGGUUCCCAUUAACACAUGUUGUGAAGUGGAUUCUCAAAAAAUCUUCCAAUUGAACUGAAACAUUAGAAAAACCUUCUACCACCCGAUAUGGCUCAUGCCAUCAUACUUAAAAUUUAUCGAGAAAGUUGUUAAAGUGGCUAUCAUAAAGUAGCACCAGAUCAUUGGACAUAAAAUAUUUUGGCCGUAACUUACUGUCGUAUUAAUUCUUUCUACGGCACUGCAUAGCUACCAUGAUCAAGAAAGCCAUAGCCCGAGCUUCAUCCAAUUUCUCCAAUUGAACUAACCUAUAUUGAAGAGAUUCUCUGUCUUCCAUACGUUCAUCCAACGUAAUUCGUAAACUUUGGACUUCCAAUUUAAUUGAUAGAAUUACCUUCUGAUCGUAUACCAAUUGAAAUAGGAUAGAAUUAGUAGUUACUUUAUAUGUAGUACGGUAUGCCCAUAAAGCUGCAAACAAUUUAGUGUCCCAACCGGUUCCCACUCCUGAAAUAGUCUUUGUUAAGAUCUUACAUAGGAUACCGUUGGUCUUUUCUAGCUGUCCAUUGGCUCGUGGAUGAUAAGGUGUAGUUUUGUGGUGCUUGAUCUCAUACUCCGCUGUUAAUGCUUCAAUUGUUGCAUUAAUAAAAUAUCUUCAGCGAUCACUAACCAAUUCUUUUGGACAGCCAAAACAAGUGAUAAUGUUCUCAUAUAAAAAUGUUGCUACGAUAUUGACAUUAUUAGUUUUCGUUGCCAUUGCCUCCGCCCAUUUGGUGACAUAAUUGGUGGCUACUAGAAUAUAACGUUUAUGUCCAUUUUGAGAGGCAGGUGCAAUUGGUCCUACAAAGUCAAUGCCCCAUUUUUUGAAUGGUGUUUGUAUCAAAAUUGGUACCAAUGGCAUUGCAAAAGUUCUAAUAGGGCGAUCAAAAAUCAUGACCAAUGGGCUUUGAAGAGGCUGCCCGAGGCCAAAUUCAGGAUUAGGGUUAGUUUCUCAAGGCCAUUCGAACUUUCGAGGUUGAGGUCAGAAGGUUUAGGGUUUUGGAUAUGGUUUUGGUGCAAAAUUUGUAUCAUUUAGGGUUUUUAUGAAGAAGUUAUAGACGCUCAAAGUUAAGGUGUUAGUUUUUGGACCUACUAUCCUUCUUUGGGGCAUUGCGCACGCAGACAGAGAGCAAACAAAGAUCGGCGACUGAAGUUGGAAAGAACACUUUUUUGCCUACAAUUAAUGCCUACUUUUUGUCAAAUUCAAAGCUUUGAUGAAGGAGAUAUUGGCAGAUAAAGUUAGCGCUUGGAAUCUAAGGGUUGUAAGUAGCUCGAUUUACUUGUACUUGUGAUUUGAGCUAUGUCUUAGAUAAUUUGAUGAGGUUUUGACUCAAAAUUUCUAAGAUUGUGUAUAAUGUUGUUAUGAAGCUUUCUACAUAAGUUUUGUGGAAUUUAGAGUUUGGGUUUUUGAGAUACAGGGAAAAUAGUUUUUGGAUGCUUGUAAGUUAGGGUUUUGUGUACCUGCUAGAAUUUCUAAGAUGCUGAAAGAUCGGUGAUAGAUGUACGGUUCAUUUUUGUUGUGAUAAGGGUUAAAAAUAGCAUCUAUCUUAUGUAGAAGUUUGAAAGAAAUUGAAAGGUUGGAUCGAGAUAUAUGAGAUCCUAAAGUCUGAUGUAAAAAGGUCUUUGUGGGAAGAAAAAUGUUUUGAAGGAUAUUAAUAUAUUUUGAGUUUUUAUACAAAGCAAAGAGGAUUUUUUGGGAGCUAAGGUAUAAUAUGCAAGUGAAACCUGAACUCUCUACAGCUAUAUACCUGGUGUAUUCUUAGAUAGAAAAUCACGCCAAACGACAGCGCAAAAUGUCCUCCACAACUGUCCAAAUGACAUCCUUCCAAAAUUGUACGAACUUCACUUUGAAAGAUGUAACAGCGUUAAAUUCCAUCAUGCCCUUAUUUGUACAAGGUAUCUCCAAUCAUGGUAUAUGAAGUACUUUUUAAAAUCAGAUGCUUCUUUAAUUUUUCAUUAUAGGAAAUUAGAAAAUUUUGAAACCUUAGAUAUAAGAUCAAUUCACCAUAUUGUCACGGACACAAAAUACAGACUUGAAAUCUAACAAGAAGUUCAAGAAGAAGUGGCAGAACUAGAUUAAACAGAUGAGUACAAGAACAACACCAGAAAGGUGAGCUAGAACUCCAAGAGAUGUGUUGUCGAGACUGAAGAACUCUUCAGCCUCGAUCCCUAUAUAUACUCCUACUUAGGAAGCUUCUAGAAACUUCUCUUCUAGAAGGUUCCAGAGACUUCCUUUCUAGAAGCUUCUAGAAACUUCUCUCUAAAAGGUUCCAGAGGCUUCUCUUUUAGAAGGUUCCAGAGGCUUGUUUUCUAGAAGGUUCUAGAAACUUCUCUCUAGAAAGUUCUAAGGAAUAUGUCCCUAACAUCACCCCCUCCUUUAGCUUCGAGGUCUCUGAGAAGCAAUAUUGUUGAUCAGUACCAACGCAAGAAAAUGAAGAUUUGUCGCAUAACUUCUGCUAUGAAUUCCAACUGUUGUUCACGAGGCAAGUGGUUCAUCGAUCCUUGAAGCCAACGGUAAUGGCCCACGCCUUCGACUUCUGACCAAGCAUGAACUUCCAUGUCCUCAUUGUGAAAUUGUCCUGCAAACACGCCUUCUGGUUGACCAUCGUAAGCAGGUUCGAUCUCAAAUAUGAUCACCAGUGAUCGGUUACUCGGUAUCCUCCGUCGUCGUUGUGGUACAUGUAGUUCAUCAUCUCGGGGUCGCCUUCGUGAGCUACUCGGUUGCGAUACUCUGACUGGCAUAGUAUCUAUCUCUUGACUAUCCAUAUCAAAAGACCAAACUACGAUCUAUCUUGGAGAAAAUAACUACAUCAACUAUGAAUUUUGCUGGUGCUCUCCCCUUUUCUUAUAUUGUUGGAAGAACAAGCUUCAGAAAGAAGCUAUCAUUGAAUUGAUUUAGGUUUAUCGAGAUGUCGUUGAUGAAACUCUUGUACCUUUUGUGGCGCAUUCGCAAGAUUUUCAGCUGGCUACCACGUUUACUCAUUAAUGUCAUAGCCGCACCAAUGAACAAGAUAUUCUAACUUUCCCCACCUUUGUCGUGAAUCCAAUACCUUUUCAACCUCGUAUUUUUUGUGGUUCUCGAUUUCAAUACUAGGUGGCGGACAUUGCACUCUUCCAGGAAAAGAUGACUCUCGAUAAGGUUCCAACAGAGAAACAUGAAAGACUAGAUGUACCUUCAUAGAAGCCGGUAACUCCAGCCGGUAUGCCAUUGCAUUAAUUUGCUUUUGGAUGAUAAAUGGUCCCAAUCUUCGAUAGUCCAACUUAUCACAUUGUCGCUUGGUCUUGAUAUUUCGUCGAAGAAGCCAGGCUUUGUCUCCAACUUUGAAAGUAGGUGCUGGAUUCCGAAAUCUAUCUGCAGACGUCUUAUAAGAUUCUUGAGCGGAUUGUAAUUGAAGCUUCAACAUAGUUUGAAGCUCUGAUAGUUGCUUCGCAAAUCCUUCAGCUGCUGGAUUAUUAUUUGUUGACGGACUCAAUAAAUCAAGCUUCGGAUGAUACCCAUAGUUGAAAAAGAAUGGUGUUUGUUGAGUCGACACAUGGAGGGUGUUGUUAUAUGCAAACUCGGCUAGCGAUAGAUAUGCAGUCCAAUCGUCUUGGUGAUAGUUGAUGUUGCAUCGUAAGUACUGCUCCAAGACUUGGUUCACCCGUUCCAUUUGGCCAUCAGUUUGAGGAUGAAAAGCUGAAGAAAGCUUGAUAUCCACCUUUAAUAUUCCAAAGAGAGAUCUCGAAAACUUUGACACGAACUGGGUACCUCGAUCUGAUAUGAUAUCAUCUGGUAGUCCAUGAUAUCGAUACACAUUAUCGAGAAAGAGUCUUGUUGUGACUUCACUGGACGAUGUCUUCUUACAAGGAACAAAGUGUGCCAUCUUUGUAAGCCGAUCUACCACGACAAAGAUGCUGUCAAAUGAGUUUGAUGAUGGCAAGUCCGUGAUGAAGUCCAUAGAAAUUGAAGACCAUAGUCAACGUGGAAUUGGCAAUGGCUGUAGAAGUCCAUAAGGGCGAUGUUGAGGAUUCUUAGAUCUUGAACAGAUGUCACAAGAGAAGACAAAAUCUUUCACAUCCUUCCACAUUUGGGGCCACCAAAAAUCUCGAGAAAUAAGCUCCAAGGUCUUGUUGAAUCCAAAAUGUCCAGCAGCUGGAAAAUCAUGGCGAGAUUGAAGAACUCGGAGUCAUGCUAGUCCUUUUCGAAUGUACAAUUGCUCUUCAAAGUAUAAAAGAUCUCCCUCCACCUUGAACUUCUCGUCAUUGGUACGUUGCUUGAUAUCAAUGGCUAUUGAAUCUUUAAUGGUCAUAGCACGUACUUGGUUUAGGAAGUCAGCAUCAAAUGAUACAAUAGUAGCACAAAGUUGAAAUCUCUCUGGCUUCAAUAACGUUGUACAUUGUUGAUCAAACGUUGCUUCUCCAGCCUUUGGUGCAAGAUAUGAUCUCCUUGAUAAAGUAUUGGAUAGUCCUUGCUGUCUUCCAAGUCGAUAAGUGAUAACAAAAUCGAAUCUAGAUAGCGACAUAUUCCAACGAGCUUGACGCCGAUUUAAAACUCGAGCCGUCAUGAAAUACUCCAAGUUCUUGUGAUCCGUAUAUACGAUUAUUCGAUGUGCAGCUCCUUCAAGAAAGUGACGCCAUUCUUCGAAAGAAUCUACUAUAGCAAGAAGUUCCUUAUCGUGGAUCUCAUAAUUGAUUUCAGCAGCAGAGAACUUCCGAGAAUAGAAUACAACUGGAUGGAGCUUCUUAUCUUCACUCAUUUGUGAAAGUACAACUCCCAAACCAAAAUCUGAAGCAUCAAUUUCUAAAUAGAAGGCCUUUGUAAAGUCUGGAUGUACCAAAAUUGGAGCUGUAGUAAAUGCUGUCUUCAAAUCUUGAAACGCCUUCUCCGCCAAAGGUCCCCAUUCCAACUUAUCUUUGCAUGUUAAUCGAGUGAAAGGAGCAGCAACUUGAGAAUAAUUCUUGAUGAAGAUCCGAUAGAAGUUAGCAAAACCAAGAAAGCAUUGUACGUUGUCGUAUUACGUGCUUUCUUGCUCAAGAACAUGCCGGGCGUCUGGCUGUAGAAGGUAGUAUGGAGAUUCGCCAAUAGUCAAGCAGUCUAUCAGUUUUUGACUGCUGGAAUAUAAACGACUACAAAAAUAUAUCGUAAAUCUAUACGGAUGCCCUUCGAUUGCUUGUCGAAGUCCUUUUUGCCCCAGCCGGUAGGUCUCUAGACGUUACAGAGAAUCCCAAACAACCAAAUCUACUAAUCUCCGAUACCGCUUUGUACUUAUGAUCUUGAAUCCAUUGACAGUCUUGUUAGAUUAAUCCAAUAAAUUUCAUUCACUCCGCAUACUCAAUCCUAUAGAUACCUUUUUUAUCCUUCAAUCUCAGACGUAACUGGAUUUCACAAAACAGCCAGGAGUGAUCUCACCCACUUCAUUAAAAAUCCCGAUUCACCAUUACAACACUGACUUCAGCAACGAUUGCCUCCAUCUUCUCAAAACUCUAUGAAGAAGAAAAAUCCAAUUCUCUGUCUUUCCUUCCUCGACCCGAAGCACGAAGCUCCUCUCCAAUCCCCUUGGUCUUUAAAAACCUCUCAUGAAACCGAACUAGUAACCUUCAAAAAAAAAAAACUUGGAGCUAGCUCUUCGAUCCCAAAAAACCUUCCCUCCCCUCUGAUCCCUCUUCCCCUAACCUUAUCCUCUGAAUUUCUUCAAUCUUCCAUCUUAGAUCCGAAAUUGGCUCCCAUUGUCAAAGCUUAGAUCCGAAAUUGGCUCCCAUUGUCAAAGCUUAGAUCCGAAAUUGGCUCCCGCCGUCAGAGCUUUCAAAAUGGCACAGAGAAUAGGACAACCUGAAACAGAAUCGAAACCCCGUACUCGGAUCCACAUUGAGUUGCGUGACCAAUUCAGGUCUCAUAUUGAGUAAGAGGACGCGUAGUAACCUGGAUGUUCCCGUAAUUAUUCUGCAUUGGAUUGCACGACCAAUACAGGUCUCAUAUUGGAUAAGAGGACCCGAAGUAAGACCUGGAUUUUCCCGUAAUCAGACUGCAUUGGGUUGCCCGACCAAUGCGGGUUUCAUAUUGGGUAAGAGGACCCGUAUUGGAUUCUUGAAAUUAGAUCCAAUUGGCUCUUCAAACCAAGCUCACCCAUCGCGUGAAUUGGUCCUUUCCCUUCCUGCUGACUCCCAUUAUUGGAAUCGAAUGAAGCAUUUCAGUAUGUCCCAGCUUACUAUAAUGGGGUGACUGAACCUGACCACUCAGUAUUUGCACUGGAGUUGGUCGUUGCUUCCAAUAUUCGAGGUAACUGAAUAUUAAUAAAAGUCCCUUUUCUUUAUAUUUUCAUGGUAUACUCGUAUUACAACACGACAUCCACCCCCUCUGAACCUGUGCAUCCUCCAAUAUGCACCAAUUUACCCAAUUGCUGUUUGAUUCAGAAUAUAUCCUCUACGUCUUUGUUCUGUUCGUCUUCGUCACCUUCAUUAUCCAAAUCACUUUCAUCUUCUUCCUGCAGAAUCUCUAUACCUUCAUUAAGGUCUUCCAUAUUCAUCUCCGCGUGUCUUCGUUUAAAUAUUUUUACUCGCUUCUCUGCAAUUGGUAUUUUCAAUUUUGUACCAUCUAACUCCCGUAAUGAGUAAGUCGCAUUAUCAUGAACAGUUGUUACUAUAUAUGGUCCAAACCAACGUUUUGAAAAUUUCCGCAAAGUACUAUGUUGAUUAUCCAGACUAUUGUCAUAAACAAGUACCCAAUCACCUUCCUCAAUUGCUUUUGGUCUCAAUCGAUGUUGCUUAUCGAAUCGCGCCUUGUUUUGUAACCUUGCUCUUUUUAACCUUCCCAAUGCUAUCUGGACAUCUUCCGUUCUUUGCUCCAAUUGUCGAAUCCUAAUAGCCAGAAGUUCUUCUCUUGUCAAUCCAUCUUCUCAUGGUAGCAUACUCCAAGUAAGUACCUUUUCUUCAAUCGGCAUAAUUGGUUUUUGACUUGUCAUAAGUUCUACUGGCAUAUAUCCUGUCAUCGAACUAUGUGUUGUUCGAUCAGCCCAUAAUACAAAUGACAAAAGCCGUGGCCACUCUUUAACUUUCCUAUUACAAGCUUUAACCAAUGCUUUCACAAUCGGUGGGUGACCGCGUUUGCUUUUUGCAUUCCCUUCCGAAUUAUAAGCAAUAGUCAGUGAUAGUUUAACUCCAUAUCUUUCAAAGAACUUACGAGCUUCUUGUGCAUUUAAUUCUCCACGAUCUGCAGUGAUUUUUCCUACGCAUCCGUAGCAGCAAAUGACAUCUUCAAGCAAAAACCUACAAAUCCUGUCUGUAGAUUUUGUCCUCAAUGCUCUUCCUUCUACUUGAUUUGAUAAAUCUUCUCGAGCUAAAACCAAAUAUCUCAUCUGUCAUAAUCCAACCGGCAUAAUAACCAAAUCAACAACCCAUUUAAAAUGAAUAGCCAAAGGAUACGUAGGAUGAAGACCAUCUCGAUGUCAGAUAUUAAAAUACGAUUGACAGAUUUCACAUGACUCUACAAAUGAGAGCACAUCUCGAUACAUAUUUUUCCACCAAUAUCGUUCCUUGAGUUUAGCAAAAGUAGCCCAGAUUCUUCUAUGCCCUGCCCAUAAACUAUCAUGAAACUCUUUUAAUAAUUUUAGUUUUUCUUCUCUUUUGCCUAUCACUCGUUGUGGCAUCCCAAUUCCUUUCUUCGGUCUCUUCCAUAAGAAUCCAUCUCGAAGUAAAAAUCCAUAUGCUUUUUUUCUUAUUUGUUUGAAUUUUUCUAUAGACCAAUUCCCCUGCUUAGUCAAAGUAUUCAAGUAAUGACCAAUAUCUAAUAAUUCUCCUUCAUAAGAUUCUUCAAGAAAUAGCUUGUCUUCUCUGUUGAGAUUUGAUAUUGAAUAGAAUUUCAAUCUGACGUCAUCAAUGUCUUCAACCAUUUCGUCCUCCCUCUCGUAUCUUGCUCCAGAUAACAUGUCUGCUACUAAAUUGUCCUUCCCAGUAAUAUGCUUAAAUUCUGGAUUUAGUGACUUAAUAUAAGCAAUCCAUCUCAACAUUGCAAUAUCUAGCGUUGAACAAUUAAUAAUCAUUCCAAGAAAUGGCAAGCAAUCUAUUUCAAUUACUACUACUGCCCCAAUCAAAUAGUCCUUUUCAGCUUUCAUAGCCGAAACGACUCCCCAAAGUUCUCUUUUGACUUACUAAUAUGCAUACUGACGAAUACUUAAAACUUUAGCCCCAAACCGAACUGCAAAUCUAUUCCUACUAGAAUCAUCUUGACCCACAGCCCAUCCAAUGGCAAUUGGACUAGCGUCCAUAGUAAGAAUCACUGGUCUAUUGCACUUAUAAUCAACCUUCCUCAAUAUUGGAGGUGACAUCAAUAAUUUCUUCAAUCUUUGCAUUGCCUAAAUAUGCCUUUCUUCCCAUUUAAAUCGGUAACCCUUGCGUAACAGUUCAUAUAAUGGAUCCGUUAUGUGAGCAAAAUGAGGGAUCCAGAUUCGAUAAAAUACACAUGCACCCAAAAACCUGCGAACCUCUAUUAAAGAAUCACAAUCCUCUUUCAUCCUUCCAAUUGCAUCAACUUUAGUCGGAUCUGGUUUUCUUCCGUAAGAUCCACAUAAAUGUCUAACAAUUACAACCUCUCGCACUCCAAAUACGGACUUCAUACCCGAUAAUGUAAGAUGAACUUCUCCAAGCCGAGUUAAAAUCUUUUCACAAUCUUGUAUAUGAUCAACAACAUAUCUGCGAUACCCCCUCGUAUCUAAAGUUUCAUCCUUGUCUCCUUCUCUGCAUCCUUUUAUAGGAACCUCAUCCAGAAAAGGCAUAGUCUUUUCCGGAAUAAAAUCUCUCAAUACCUUAUUCAUCCCAUUCAUUAUAUGCACAACUGAGUUGGUCGCGCCUUGAGGAAGACUGCACAUUCUAACCAAUCCAAGUGGUGUCCUCAUUGUUGUCAUAUCUCUACUUCCUUCGGCAAGUUGAAAUUGAUCAUAAUCUGAAUACAAGUCACCCAUUGAAUAGAUCACCCUUCCAACAAACGCCUCAGCAAAUUCAUCCACAAUAGGCCCAAUUCCUGCAUUUCUGACAGUUACUGCAUUAACCGGUUGCAUAUCUUGAAUAAACCGUAGUGACCCAUUCUUCUUAGGUAUCAUAAACCAUCGACUAGAAUACGGCGAAAAUGAGGGUUCCAAUAUUUUCAUCUUUAUCUUUUCUUUUAAUAGUUCAACCAAUUUAGGUAAAUGUGCCCUCGGUACUGGAAUCGGUCUUAGAUUUUAAGGUACAUGUGGUACAGUGAAGAUAACCAUAGGUGUUAUAAUAUUUGGAUCCACACACCCAAUUUCAUGAGAUUCGAAGGCAAACGAUCUACCUUGUCUAGCCAACAUCUUUUUGAAGCAAGUAAUUUCCUCCGGCAAUAAAAAACCAUCAGAACCAAUCUUCAAUUCUUCAAAAGUCUCUUUAGUAAACUCAUGUCCAAUACUCACUAGAUCUCUUAAACUUGCUUCUUUUGAUGCUUCUCCCUUUUGUUCUUUAGAAUCUUCUGGUAAUAGUCCAGUAACAGGCUUUAUCUUCUUAUCUGCCGUUUUAUAUCUCGUCUCUAGUGUGACUUCUGGUGCUUGAAAAGAUUCAAGCAUGGUAUAAACCUCUCUCGAAUGAAUCUCAACAAUCUUAUCAUUAUCUCCUAACCCAAUAGAUGUAAUGAAUUCCAAUGAAUCUUCCAGUCCAUUUUCUUCAUAAACACCUAAAAUCCUCUCAUCAUCUUGCAAUGUACCUAUCUUGCGUAACUGUCCUUCAAUAUCAUAUAAUCUUUUUCUUUCUUUUCUUUUAAAAUCAUCAACUUUCUUAUACAUAAUAUUUCCAUUCUCCGAUAUACCUAUAAAACUGGCAUCAAAGGCACCUUCAUCUCGCGAGGGUUCCUCUUCUUUUGUACCUCCAUAAUCUCGCUUUACAGUGGUACCUCCCCAAAAUCCUGAAAUCCUUCAACAAUCUUUGGCAAUGGUUUCUCCCUGAACCUAUCUCGAUUCCGUUCAUAGUUAGGAGGUACUGUUAGAAAUUGUACAGCUUUCCUUCCAUCCUCGCUACGUACCCUUGCAUAAGCAGAACCAUCGUCCAAUACUUUUGUUUCCAUCUGUGUUGCCGUAAUAUAAGGUUGUCCUAAAAUCAACGGAUAAGACGUUGUAUCUUUCGCUUAAUGCUGUCAAUGAUGACAUCAUGAAGCUCCUUCUUUGCAAUUCCCAAAACUUCUUUCAAUGUGAAUUCCACCUUAGCGUUUAAUAUACGUUCUUCCAACACCCCUUUCAAAUUUAUUGCCGCUUCAAUGUGAGAAAGUAGCUUAUAAGCAAUUGAUUUGUCCUUAUCUUUUGUCUCCUUUGUUUUUUCUCUCAAUGAUGCUGAGGUAUCCUUUACAGGCAAUUCUUGUGAAGCUGCCUCCCGAGCCUUGUCUCCUCGAGUUUGCCUCUUAGAAGAAUUUCCUUCUCUAAUAUCAUCAAAAUUUCCUCGUCUCUUUUCUUCCAUCAAAGCUUCAUUGUGGCUCUUAGCAAUAUAUGCAUGAACAGAAAGAGACUCAACAUGAUCCUCCCAACCUGUUCUACCUCGUAAUGUAGCUGCAGUUCUCAAUAACGCUUCUCGAGGUAAUUUCCCUUCUUGCAUUAUAGAAACGGCAGAAGCCCAAAACUCACUAGUUUCCGUACUUCCACCAAUUUCAUCAUCUACUCUAGCACCAUAACUUGCACUUUCUCGUGCUGCUGUUUCAUGCUCUUUUAGGUAAUCUUCAACCAAUGCUCUCAUUCCUCCCUUGCCAAAAUUGGUUUGAAGAAGAUCCUCUCUAUUUUUCAAUACUAUCUUCCCAUCUUUUCAGCAAAUAAUUCCCUGCCGUAUCAUAUUAUUAAAUUCAUUGCAAUCUUUUCUAGUGUGUGAAGCAUCAUCACACCAAAUGCAUCUUUGUACAUAUCCUUGUUUUGAAACAUUCUUCGAAUUGUUUUUUUAGAAGUAUUCUCUUCAAGUCUUGCCAAUUUGAUUUGAAGAUCUCGCAUUCCUCGUAUAAUUUCUUCCAUCUCCAUAUCUGCUUUCUUUGACAAGGAUGUCGAAGGUUGAACUGUAGGCAUUGUUGGUGGUGUUGUACGCUGUCGUGUUGUAACACGAAUAUACAGUGAAAAUAAAAAGAAAAGGGAAUUUUAUUAAUAUUCAGUUACCUCGAAUAUUGGGAGCAUCGACCAACUCCAGUACAAAUAUUGAGUGGUCAGGUUCAGUCACUCCGUUACAGUCAGCCGGGGCAUACUGAAAUGCUCCAUUCGAUUCCAAGAACGGGAGUCAGCAGGAAGAGAAGGACCAAUUCACACGACGGGUUCGGAGAGCCAAUUGGAUCCAAUUUUGAUAAUCCAAUCCGGGUCCUCUUAUCCAAUAUGAGACUUGAAUUGGCCGGUAUCGUGUUGUAACACGAGUAUACAGUGAAAAUAAAAAGAAAGGGGAAUUUUAUUAAUAUUCAGUUACCUCGAAUAUUGGGAGCAUCGACCAACUCUAGUACAAAUACUGAGUGGUCAGGUUCAGUCACUCCGUUACAGUCAGCCAGGGCAUACUGAAAUGCUCCGUUCGAUUCCAAUAUCGGGAGUCAGCAGGAAGAGAGGGACCAAUUCACAUGACGGGUUCGAGGAGCCAAUUGGAUCCAAUUUCGAUAAUCCAAUCCGGGUCCUCUUAUCCAAUAUGAGACCUGAAUUGGCCGGUCAACCCAAUGUAGUCUAAUUACGGGAAAUCUAGGUCUUACUACGGGCCUCAGCCAGUUUGAAGCGAAGACCAAUUUGACCCAAUUACGUGAGCAUCCAGGUUACUAAGGGCAUCUUACCCAAUAUGGGACCUGAAUUGGUCGGGCGACUCAAUGUGGUCCCGAUUACGGGGUUUCGAUUCUGUUUCGGGCUGUCCUGUUUUCUGUGCCGUUUCAGGGAACAUUGUUUACGGUAAAUGGAUCUCUUAAAGGUAAAAACGAAGGAGAAGGCCUUGAUGACGUGAGCCAAUUUCGGAUCUAAGCUCUGACGGGGGGAGCCAAUUCCGGAUCUAAGAUGGAAGAUUGAAGAAAUUCAGAGGAUAAGGUUAGGGGAGAAGGUAGUUUUAGAGAGGGAGGUUUUUUUUUCGGGGGAAUCGGAGGGGAGCUAGUUUUCAAGCUUUUGCAAGGUUACCAGUUCGGGUUUCAUUGGAGGUUUUUGAAGAUCAAGGAAAUUAGAGAGAGGAGCUUCAUGCUUGGGGUCGGGGAAGGAAAGACAUAGAAUUUGGAUUUUUCUUCUUCAUAGAGUUUUGGGAAGACUGAGGCAAUCGCUGCUAAAGUUAGUAUUGUAAUGGUGAAUUGGGAUUUUUAAAUGAAGUGGGUUUGAAUACUCUUGACUGUUUUGUAAAAUCGAGUUACGUCUGUGAUUGAAGGAUUAAAGGGGUAUCUAUAGGAUUAAGUAUGCGGAGUGAAUGAAAUUUAUUAGGUUAAUCUAACAGGACAGUCAGUGGAUACAAGAUCGUAAGUACAAAGGGGUAUUAAAGAUUAACAGUUUGAGUUGUUCGGGGUUCUCUGUAAUGUCUAGGGACCUAUCGGCUGGGGCAAAAAAAAAAGACUUCGACAAGCAGUCGAAGAGCAUCCGUAUAGAUUUACGGUACAUUGUUGCAGUCGUUUAUAUUCCAGCAGUCAAAAACUGAUAGACUGCUUGACUAUCGGCGAAUCUCCAUACUACCUUCUACAGCCAGACGCCCGGCGCGUUCUCGAGCAGGAAAGCACAUAAUACGACAUAAGUGGUGAACCCGACGUGAAAGCUUGAGGUAGAAGGUAUUGGAUUUCGGUUGAUUUUAUCUUUAUUUUUAUGGAAAACGAAAAUAAAAAUUUUGAAGGAUUUUUGGGAGAAGUUUCUGGUGGGGAGUCUUCUAAAGGACAAGGUAUGCACAUGGAUCCGUCUAUUGCUAGUUUGUUUCAAGCCUUCUCAUUGUCAAUGCAGCAACAGCAAAGCAAUGAUCGAAAGGAAGCUUUGGCAACUAAAGCAUUGCAAGCAGUGGUCAAUAAAAUUGAUCAAUUUGAUGGGAGGAAUAUUUCAAGGUAUUUAAGAUGUUAUGUUCGUGAAAUGGAAUUAAAUCGGGUUUCUGAGAAGAAAAUGGUUGCACUAUUUGGACUUGCCACGAUACCAGAGAUAAGAGACCACAUUACAUCGAUUACGGAUCGUUAUGAGAAUUCAUGGGAGGAUUUUUCACAUGCAUUGAAAGACGAAUAUUUCUUGGAAGAUGCUGAUCGCGUUACUAAGAAGCUCUUUCUGGGAUGGAUUGAACGGCCCAAUAAGAAUUUGCAAGCAACAGAGCUACUAAGGGAAUUUGAGAGGCAGUACUCUCAAUUAUCGAAGGUAGAAAAAUUGACAUUGGAGCCGAACAAAGUUGAUCUAUUUCUUCAAGCUGCUGAUGGAGAAUUGCAAGAGAAAUUAGAACCCCUUCUUGAAGACAAAGAAGAAGAUGAAGGAUUGACAACGAAGUGGAAGAACGUUGAAGAUGCAGUGGGGUUGCUUACAAAAUAAAAAAAAAAAGGAAGGAUAGGAGCAAUAUUCCAAAAACAAUACAAGCACCCAAAGCUCCAGUACGUACAACACCACCGACAAUGCCUACAGUUCAACCUUCGACAUCCUGGUCAAAGAAAGCAGAUAUGGGUAUGGAAGAAAUUAUACGAGGAAUGCGAGAUCUUUAAAUCAAAUUGGCAAGACUUGAAGAGAAUACUUCUAUAAACAAUUCGAAGAAUGUUUCAAAACAAGGAUAUGUACAAAGAUGCAUUUGGUGUGAUGAUGCUUCACACACUAGAAAAGAUUGCAAUGAAUUUAAUAAUAUGAUACGGCAGGGAAUUAUUUGCUGAAAAGAUGGGAAGAUAGCAUUGAAAGAUAGGGAGGAUCUUCUUCAAACCAAUUUUGGCAAGGGAGGAAUGAGAGCAUUGGUUCAAGAUUACUUAAAAGAGCAUGAAACAGUAGUACGAGAAAGUGCAAGUUAUGGUACUAGAGUAGAUGAUGAAAUUGGUAGAAGUACGGAAACUAGUGAGUUUUGGGCUUCUGCCGUUUCUAUAAUGCAAGAAAGGAAAUUACCUCGAGAAGCAUUAUUGAGAACUGCAGCUACAUUACGAGGUAGAACAGGUUGGGAGGAUCAUGUUGAGUCUCCUUCUGUUCAUGCAUAUAUUGCUAAGAGCCACAAUGAAGCUUUGAUGAAAGAAAAGAGACGAGGAAAUUUUGAUGAUAUUAGAGAAGGAAAUUCUUCUAAGAGGCAAACUCGAGGAGACAAGGCUCGGGAGGCAGCUUCACAAGAAUUGCGUGUAAAGGAUACCUCAUCAUCAUUGGAAGGAAAAACAACGGAGACAAAAGAUAAGGGCAAAUCAAUUGCUUAUAAGCUACUUUCUGACAUUGAAGCGGCAACAAAUUUGAAAGGGGUGUUGGAAGAACGUAUAUUAAACGCUAAGGUGGAAUUCACAUUGAAAGAAGUCUUGAGAAUUGCAAAGAAGGAAUUUUAUGAUGUUAUCAUUGACAGCAUUAAGAGAAAGAGGUAAUUAUUGGACGAAACUGGAAUGAGUCAUGCUAUUGAUGCAAGAAUAUGUAGAGAUGAAGAAGAGGUUGAUAUUGGUUACAAGCAACUAAGAAAUGACAAAAAUGGGUAUAAUCAGCGAGUACGUUUCGAAGAUUCUAGUGACAAGGAAAUGGAAACUUUGAGCCAUUAUACUCGAAAGCAUUGAGCAAGGGCAACUACUGAGGUAUUGGUGAAGGUAGGAGAUAUAGAAGAACCAAUAGUUGCUUAAGUGGACCAUGGUUCUGAAAUAAAUCUCAUGUCUAAAGAUCUUUAUAAGAAGCAAAAAUGGCCAAUUGAUAUGGAACAUGGAUGGGCAAUACGAGCAGCUAAUAACACACGAGGCGAAUUAUAUGGAGCUUGUCCAGAUGUCAAAAUUCGGAUUGGGGAUGUUGCGACGGAGCAACAUUUCUUCGUUCAAGAUACAACGUCUUAUCCGUUGAUUUUAGGACAACCUUAUAUCAUUGAAAGAAAAGAUAAAGAUGAAAAUAUUAGAACCUUCAUUUGCGCCGUAUUCUAGUCGAUGGUUUACGGUACCUAAGAAGAAUGGGUCACUGCGGUUUAUUCAAGAUAUGCAGCCGGUGAAUGCUGUAACUGUCAGGAAUGCAGGAAUUGGACCUAUUGUGGAUGAAUUUACUGAGGCGUUUGCUGGAAGGGCGAUCUAUUCAAUGGGUGAUUUGUAUUCAGGUAUGAUCAAUUUCAACUUGCCGAAGGAAGUAGAGAUAUGACAAUGAUGAGAACACCGCUUGGAUUGGUUAGAAUGUGCACUCUUCCUCAAGGCGCGACCAACUCAGUUGCGCAUAUGAUGAAUGGGAUGAAUAAGGUAUUGAGAGAUUUUAUUCCGGAAAAGAUUAUGUCUUUUCUGGAUGAUGUUCCUAUAAAAGGGUGGAGAGAAGGAGACAAGGAUGAAACUUUAGAUACGAGGCGGUGUCGAAGAUAUGUUGUUGAUCAUAUACAAGAUUGUGAAAAGAUUUUAACUCGGCUUAGAGAAGUUCAUCUUACAUUAUCGGGUAUGAAGUCCGUAUUUGGAGUGCGAGAGGUUGUAAUUGUUAGACAUUUAUGUGGAUCUUACGGAAGAAAACCAGAUCCGACUAAAGUUGAUGCAAUUGGAAGGAUGAAAGAGGAUUGAGGUUCUUUAACAGAGGUUCGCAGGUUUUUGGGUGCAUGUGUAUUUUAUCGAAUCUGGAUCCCUCAUUUUGCUCACAUAGCGGAUCCAUUAUAUGAACUAUUAUGCAAGGGUUACCGAUUUGAAUGGAAAGAAAGGCAUAUUCAGGCAAUGCAAAGAUUGAAGAAAUUAUUGAUGUCACCUCCAAUAUUGAGGAAGGUUGAUUAUAAGUGCAAUAGACCAGUGAUUCUUACUAUAGACGCUAGUCGAAUUGCCGUUGGAUGGGCUGUGGGUCAAGAUGAUUUGAAUGGGAGUAGAUUUGCAGUUCGAUUUGGGGCUAAAGUUUUAAGUAUUCGUCAGCGUGCAUAUUCGCAAGUCAAAAGAGAACUUCGGGGGGUCAUUUCGGCUAUAAAAGCUGAAAAGGACUAUUUGAUUGGGGCAGUAGUAGUAAUAGAAACAGAUUGCUUGCCAUUGCUUGGAAUGAUUAUUAACUGUUCAACGCCAGAUAUUGCAAUGUUGAGAUGGAUUGCUUAUAUUAAGUCACUAAAUCCAGAAUUUAAGCAUAUCACUGGAAAGGACAAUUUACUAGCAGACAUGCUAUCUCGAGCAAGAUACGAGAGGGAGGACGAAAUGGUUGAAGACAUUGAUGAUGUCGGAUUGAAAUUCUAUUCAAUAUCAAAUCUCAACAGAGAAGACAAGUUAUUUCUUGAAGAAUCUCAUGAAGGAGAAUUAUUGGAUAUUGGUCAUUAUUUGAAUACCUUGUCUAAGCAGGGAAAUUGGUCUACAGAAAAAUUCAAACAAAUAAGAAAAAAAGCAUAUGGAUUUUUACUUCGAGAUGGAUUCUUAUGGAAGAGACCGAAGAAAGGAAUUGGGAUGCCACAACGAGUGAUAGGCAAAAGGGAAGAAAAACUAAAAUUAUUAAAAGAGUUUCAUGAUAGUUUAUGGGCAGGGCAUAGAGGAAUCUGGGCUACUUUUGCUAAACUCAAGGAACGAUAUUGGUGGAAAAAUAUGUAUCGAGAUGUACUCUCAUUUGUAGAGUCAUGUGAAAUCUGUCAAUCGUAUUCUAAUAUCCAACAUCGAGAUGGUCUUCAUCCUACGUAUCCUCUGGCUAUUCAUUUUAAAUGGGUUGUUGAUUUGGUUAUUAUGCCGGUUGGAUUAUGGCAGAUGAGAUGUUUGGUUUUAGCUCGUGAAGAUUUAUCAAAUCAAGUAGAAGGAAGAGCAUUGAGGACAAAAUCUACAGAGGAGAUUUGUAGGUUUUUGCUUGAAGAUGUCAUUUGCCGUUACGGGUGGGUAGCAAAAAUCACUGCAGAUCGUGGAGAAUUAAAUGCACAAGAAGCUCGUAAGUUCUUUGAAAAAUGUGAGUUAAACUAUCACUGACUACUGCUUAUAAUCCAGAAGGGAAUGCGAAAAGCGAACGCGGUCACCCGCCGAUUGUGAAAGCAUUGGUUAAAGCUUGUAAUGGGAAAGUUAAAGAGUGGCCACGGCUUUUGUCAUUUGCAUUAUGGGCUGAUCGAACAACACAUAGUUUGGUGAUAGGAUAUAUGCGAGUAGAACUUAUGACAGGUCAAAAACCAAUUAUGCCGAUUGAAGAAAAGGUACUUACUUGGAGUAUGCUACCAUGGGAAGAUGGAUUGACAAGAGAAGAACUUCUGGCUAUUAGGAUUCGACAAUUGGAGCAAAGAACGGAAGAUGUCCAGAUAGCAUUGGGAAGGUUAAAAAGAGCAAGGUUACAAAACAAGGCGCGAUUCGAUAAGCAACAUCGAUUGAGACCAAAAGUAAUCAAGGAAGGUGACUGGGUACUUGUUUAUGACAAUAGUCUGGAUAAUCAACAUAGUACUUUGCGGAAAUUUUCAAAAUGUUGGUUUGGACCAUAUAUAGUAACAACUGUUCAUGAUAAUGCGACUUACUCAUUACGGGAGUUAGAUGGUACAAAAUUGAAAAUACCAAUUGCAGAGAAGCGAGUAAAAAUAUUUAAACGAAGACACGCGGAGAUGAAUAUGGAAGAACUUAAUAAAGGUAUAGAGAUUCCGUAGUAAGAAGAUGAAAGUGAUUUGGAUAAUGAAGGUGACGAAGACGAACUGGACAAUGACGUAGGGGAUAUAUUCUGAAUCAAACAGCAAUUGGGUAAAUUGGUGCAUACCGAUGGAUGCACAAGUUCAGAGGGGGUGGAUGCCGUGUUGUAACACGAGUAUACAGUGAAAAUAAAAAGAAAGGGGAAUUUUAUUAAUAUUCAGUUACCUCGAAUAUUGGGAGCAUCGACCAACUCUAGUACAAAUACUGAGUGGUCAGGUUCAGUCACUCCGUUACAGUCAGCCAAGGCAUACUGAAAUGCUCCGUUCGAUUCCAAUAUCGGGAGUCAGCAGGAAGAGAAGGACCAAUUCACAUGACGGGUUUGAGGAGCCAAUUGGAUCCAAUUUCGAUAAUCCAAUCCGGGUCCUCUUAUCCAAUAUGAGACCUGAAUUGGCCGGUCAACCCAAUGCAGUCUAAUUACGGGAAAUCCAGGUCUUACUACGGGCCUCAGCCAGUUUGAAGCGAAGACCAAUUUGACCCAAUUACGUGAGCAUCCAGGUUACUAAGGGCAUCUUACCCAAUAUGGGACCUGAAUUGGUCGGGCGACUCAAUGUGGUCCCGAUUACGGGGUUUCGAUUCUGUUUCGGGCUGUCCUGUUUUCUGUGCCGUUUCAGGGAACGUUGUUUACGGUAAAUGGAUCUCUUAAAGGUAAAAACGAAGGAGAAGGCCUUGAUGACGUGAGCCAAUUUCGGAUCUAAGCUCUGACGGGGGGAGCCAAUUCCGGAUCUAAGAUGGAAGAUUGAAGAAAUUCAGAGGAUAAGGUUAGGGGAGAAGAUAGUUUAAGAGAGGGAGGUUUUUUUUUCGGGGGAAUCGGAGGGGAGCUAGUUUUCAAGCUUUUGCAAGGUUACCAGUUCGGGUUUCAUUGGAGGUUUUUGAAGAUCAAGGAAAUUAGAGAGAGGAGCUUCAUGCUUGGGGUCGGGGAAGGAAAGACAUAGAAUUUGGAUUUUUCUUCUUCAUAGAGUUUUGAGAAGACUGAGGCAAUCGCUGCUAAAGUCAGUGUUGUAAUGGUGAAUCGGGAUUUUUAAAUGAAGUGGGUUUGAAUACUCUUGACUGUUUUGUAAAAUCGAGUUACGUCUGUGAUUGAAGGAUUAAAGGGAUGUCUAUAGGAUUAAGUAUGCGGAGUGAAUGAAAUUUAUUAGGUUAAUCUAACAGGACAGUCAGUGGAUACAAGAUCGUAAGUACAAAGAGGUAUUGAAGAUUAACAGUUUGGGUUGUUCGGGGUUCUCUGUAAUAUCUAGAGACCUAUCGGCUGGGGCAAAAAAAAAAGACUUCGACAAGCAGUCGAAGAGCAUCCGUAUAGAUUUACGGUACAUUGUUGCAGUCGUUUAUAUUCCAGCAGUCAAAAACUGAUAGACUGCUUGACUAUCGGCGAAUCUCCAUACUACCUUCUACAGCCAGACGCCCGGCGCGUUCUCGAGCAGGAAAGCACGUAAUACGACACCGGUCAACCCAAUGCAGUCUAAUUAUGAGAAAUCUAGGUCAUACUAUGGGUCUUAGCCAAUCUGACGCGAGGACCAAUUUGACCCAAUUACGGGAACAUCCAGGUUACUACGGGCAUCUUUCUCAAUAUAGGACCUGAAUUGGUCGGGCGACUCAAUGUGGUCUCGAUUACGGGGUUCGAUUCUGUUUCGGGCUGUCCUGUUCUCUGUGCCGUUUCAGGGAACGUUGUUUCCGGUAAAUGGAUUUCUUAAAGGUAAAAACGGAGGAGAAAGCUUGACAGCGAGAGCCAAUUUCAGAUCCAAGCUUGAGGUGGGAGCCAAUUCCGGAUCUAAGACGGAAGAUUGAAGAAAUUCAGAGGAUAAGGUUAGAGGAGAAGAUAGUUUAGAGAGGGAGGUUUUUUUUUCAGGGGAAUCGGAGGGGAGCUAGUUUUCAAGCUUUUGCAAGGUUACCAGUUCGGGUUUCAUUGGAGGUUUUUGAAGAUCAAGGAAAUUAGAGAGAGGAGCUUCAUGCUUCGGGUCGGGGAAGGAAAGACAUAGAAUUUGGAUUUUUCUUCUUCAUAGAGUUUUGAGAAGACUGAGGCAAUCGCUGCUAAAGUCAGUAUUGUAAUGGUGAAUCGGGAUUUUUAAAUGAAGUAGGUUUGAAUACUCUUGACUGUUUUGUAAAAUCGAGUUACGUCUGUGAUUGAAGGAUUAAAGGGGUGUCUAUAGGAUUGAGUAUGCGGAGUGAAUGAAAUUUAUUAGGUUAAUCUAAUAGGACAGUCAGUGGAUACAAGAUCGUAAGUACAAAGGGGUAUUGAAGAUUAACAGUUUGGGUUGUUCGGGGUUCUCUGUAACGUCUAGAGACCUAUCGGCUGGGGCAAAAAAAAAGACUUCGACAAGCAGUCAAAGAGCAUCCGUAUAGAUUUACGGUACAUUGUUGCAGUCAUUUAUAUUUCAGCAGUCAAAAACUGAUAGACUACUUGACUAUCGGCGAAUCUCCAUACUACCUUCUACAGCCAGACGCCCGGCGCAUUCUCGAGCAGGAAAGCACGUAAUACAACAACGUACUGGAGCUUUGGGUGCUUGUACUAUUUUUGGAAUAUUGCUCCUAUCCUUCCUCCUUUCUUUUUUUGUAAGCAACCCCACCGCAUCUUCAACGUUCUUCCACUUCGUUGUCAAUCCUUCAUCUUCUUCUUUGUCUUCAAGAAGGAGUUCUAAUUUUUCUUGUAAUUCUCCAUCAGCAGCUUGAAGAAAUAGAUCAACUUUAUUCGGCUCCAAUGUCAAUUUUUCUACCUUCGAUAAUUGAGAGUACUGCCUCUCAAAUUUUCUUAGUAGCUCUGUUGCUUGCAAAUUCUUAUUGGGCCGUUCAAUCCAUCCUAGAAACAGCUUCUUAGUAACGCGAUCAGCAUCUUCCAAGAAAUAUUCGUCUUUCAAUGCAUGUGAAAAAUCCUCCCAUGAAUUCCCAUAACGAUCCGUAAUCGAUGUAAUGUGGUCUUUUAUCUCUGGUAUCGUGGCAAGUCCAAAUAGUGCAACCAUUUUUUUCUCAGAAACCCGAUUUAAUUCCAUUUCACGAACAUAACAUAUUAAAUACCUUGAAAUAUUCCUCCCAUCAAAUUGAUCAAUUUUAUUGACCACUGCUUGCAAUACUUUGAUUGCCAAAGCUUCCUUUGGAUCAUUGCUUAAUUGUUACUACAUUGAUAAUGAGAAGGCUUGAAACAUACUAGCAAUAGAUGGAUCCAUAUGCAUACCUUGUCCUUUAGAAGACUCCCUACCAGAAACUCCUCCCAAAAAUCCUUCAAAAUUUUUAUUUUCGUUUUCCAUAAAAAUAAAGAUAAAAUCAACCAAAAUCCAAUACCUUCCACCUCAAGCUUUCACGUCGAGUUCACCACUUUUUUUGUAUUACGUGCUUUCUUGCUCGGGAAUGCGUCGGGCGUCUUGCUGUAGAAGGUAGUAUGGAGAUUCGCCAAUAGUCAAGCAAUCUAUCAGUUUUUUACUACUGGAAUAUAAACGAUUGUAAGAAUACACCGUAAAUCUAUACGGAUGCCCUUCGACUGCUUAUCGAAGUCCUUUUUGCCCCAGCCGUUAGGUCUCUAGACAUUACAAAGAACCCCAAACAACCCAAACUGUUAAUCUUCCAUACCCCUUUGUACUUACGAUCUUGUAUCCACUGACUGUCUUAUUAGAUUAACCCAAUAAAUUUCAUUCACUCUGCAUACUCAAUCCUAUAGACACCUUUUUAAUCCUUUAAUCACAGACGUAACUCGAUUUCACAAAACAGUCAGGAGAGAUCACACCCACUUCAUUAAAAAUCCCGAUUCACCAUUACAACACUAACUUCAGCAACGAUUGCCUCUGUCUUCCCAAAACUCUAUGAAGAAGAAAAAUCCAAUUCUCUGUCUUUCCUUCCCCGACCCGAAGCAUGAAGCUCCUCUCUCUAAUUUCCUUGAUCUUCAAAAACCUCCCAUGAAACCAAACUAGUAACCUUCAAAAAAAAAAAAAAAAUUGAACCUAGCUCUUCGAUCCCAAAAAACCCCUCCCCCUUUGAUCUCCUCUUCUCCUAACCUUAUCUUCUGAAUUUCUUCAAUCUUCCAUCUUAGAUCCGGAAUUGGCUUCCAUCGUCAGAGCUUAGAUCCGAAAUUAGCUCCCGCCAUCAGAGCUUUCAAAAUGGCAUAGAGAAUAGGACAGAUUGAAACAGAAUCGAAACCCCGUACUCGGAUCCACAUUGAGUCGUCCGACCAAUUCAGGUCUCAUAUUAGGUAAGAGGACCCGUAGUAACCUGGAUGUUCCUGUAAUUACUCUGCAUUGGGUUGCCCGAACAAUACAGGUCUCAUAUUGGAUAAGAGGACCCGGAGUAAGACCUGGAUUUUCCCGUAAUCAGACUGCAUUGGGUUGCCCGACCAAUGCUGGACUCAUAUUGGGUAAGAGGAUCCGUAUUAGACUCUCAAAAUUAGAUCCAAUUGGCUCUUCGAACCAGGCUCACCCGUCGCAUGAAUUGGUCCUUUCCCUUCCUGCUGACUCCCGUUAUUGGAAUCGAAUGGAGCAUUUCAGUAUGCUCCAGCUCACUAUAACGAGAUGACUGAACUUGACCACUCAGUAUUUGCACUGGAGUUGGUCGUUGCUUCCAAUAUUCGAGGUAACUGAAUAUUAAUAAAAGUCCCUUUUCUUUAUAUUUUCACGGUAUACUCGUGUUACAACACGACAACGUCUCUAACCGUCUUCGGAACCUCCCAAGGCAUGAUUGCUUCUACUUUCUUGGGGUCCAUCUUCAAACCUUCUAUAGUCGCAAUGAACCCCAAAAAUUCCAUCUCCGUCUGGUGAAAUAAAUACUUUUCUAAUUUGGCAUAUACUCCUCGCUUGCGUAGUUUCUCUAAGACCAAACGAACAUGCUCCUUAUGCUCUUCCUCAUUUUUAGAGAAUAUUAGAAUAUCGUCUAAGUAGAUGACAACAAAAUCGUCGAGGUGUUCUCGAAAGAUGUCAUUCAUCAUAUGUUGGAAAACCGCUGGAGCAUUGGUAAGACCAAAAGGCAUGACAUUAUAUUCGAAAUGACCAUACCUUGUACGGAAUGCUGUCUUCCACUCAUCUCCUUCCUUGAUUCGUACUAGAUUAUAAGCUCUCCUUAGAUCAAUUUUUGUAAAGAUCUUCGCAUGUCCAAGUUGUUCUAAGAGACUAAAAAUCAAGGAUAAUGGGUAACGAUUUUUCUUUGUUACCUUGUUGACGCCUCGAUAGUCCACACACAUCCAUAAUGAUCCAUCUUUCUUCUUCACAAAUAAGAUGGGUGCUCUAGCUGAUGAUUUUGAAUGGCGAAUGAAGUUUUUGGCUGAAUUCUCGUCGAUGUACUUUCGCAACUCUGCCAACUCUGUUUGCGAUAGAUUGUAGAUUGGACCAAAAGGUGGUUGUGCUCCUUCUUACAAGUCUAUGGCACAAUCAUAUGGUCGGUGUUUCGGUAGUAUGUCGGCGUUCUUCUUUUGAAACACAUCUUCAAAAUCCUUAUAUUGCUCGGGUAUACUUGCUGUUGAGAUCUUCUCCUCGGUAGUUGGAGCCGCAUAAAUGACAAAUGGAGUGCCUUCCUUAGAUGAUCUUAUAAACACUCUUGCUCCAAUGAAUAAGGAUUUCUUUUUUCGAGGUUUUUUACUAGGUUUUUUCUUGGGUGGUUUUGUGGGAAAAGUCAUCUUCUGCAACCUCCAAUCUAUCAAUGGAUUAUAUUUUUCCAACCAAGAAAGACCAAGAAUAAUAGGAUUUGAUGGGGUUCUAAUAAUAUUAAAAAUAAUAUGACUACUAUGGUCUUUAAACGUUACUUCUAUAGGUUUUGAUUCAUGGAUGAUGCUACCAGACGAUAAAGGUCGCCCAUCUAUGACCUCAACAUGAACAGGUUUUGAUUUUUGUACUAAAGGGAUCUUAUGACGCUUUGCAAAUUCUUCGUCUAAAAAACAAGCAGAUGCUCCUGAGUCUAGUAGUACUAAGGUUCUCAGUUUUUGAGGGCCGAUAAACAGAGCGAUUAUAAAACAAAGUGUAGGUUGGGCAGAAAGAAAGGAACCUGAUUGUUGUUGGGAUAUUUCAUUUUCCUGUCGCACGGUUCCUACUGUGGCUGGGCAUCCUUGUUUUCCUGAAUAAAUACUCCCCUAGUCUUGACUAUGCCUCGAUUUUGCUUUUUGGGGCAGUUUCUGACUUUGUGGCCUUCUCCACUGCAAUACAAGCAUAAAUUUUCUUCCAUACGUCGCUUUUUUUCUUCUACAGUAAGAGAUUUGAUAUGUACCACAUCAAUUUGCAUGUCUUCCAUCUUUGAAUGCGAAUUCACAUCGCUUGUCGACAUAGUUGGAGCAUGGUAAAUUGUAUGUUGUCUUGAGCCUUGAUCUUGGUGACAUUGGAAUAGGCGAUUAUCGCACUUCACAGCUUGGCUAAUGGCUUCAUUGAGCAUUCGUGGAUUAGGAAGAGUUAACAGCAAAUCCUUCACAUCAUCUCUUAAAUCCCAAUAGAAUUGACUCAUCAACGCUUCUUCAUCCCAAUUGAUGUCGCAUACUAAUUGCCUGAAAUCCGAAGCAUAGACUGAUGUAGAACGCAUCCCUUGUCGUAGCGACCGGAUCUUUGUUGUAGCCCAUCGAAUCUUAUCGUGUUCACCAAAUGCUUUCGUAAAUGCUUCCAAAAAGGUUUCGAAGUUGUUUAAUAUAGAUGAUCGUUUCUCAAACAAAGGAUCAAAUCAUGAUAGAGCUUGUCCCGUAAGUAAGGUUCCAACAAGCCCAACACGUGACUCCUCCGUUGGAUAUCUUUCGAGCUGUAAAAUUGUUAUCAACCUGAUUUGAUUGACGAAUCCUUGAAACUUGGAACGUGUUCCAUCAAACUUAUCUGGAAGGCUAAUUCGAGGCUCCUUAUGUUGUAGAACUAGUGGUUCUUGUCGAACCUGAGGUAAAGUUGUUUUUUCAAGUGCUGAAAUUUGAGGCUGGUGUAGUUUAGAUUGUGCUAUCCCAGAUACUCCAUCAUUAUGAAGCCUUGCCACCACUCCUUCAAUCUCUGCAAUUCUUUGUGAUAACGUAGCGAGGGCAUUCAUAAUAGCAUCUAACUUAGACUCCAAACUUUCUGUCAUACUAAUGUCUUGACCUCUGGCCAUUCUAAAAGAAGGACAAAAAUGACCCUAUAAGAGGCAAUAUUGGUUUAUAGGAAGGUAAUCCACAACCUAUAAAAUGCCUUAAGAAUUUCAAGAAGAGAAGUAAUCCACUCUCUCCAAGAAGAAUAAGACUCCAAUAUUGUAACAGAAGAAGUAUCAGUUUAGAGGAGGGUAAUCCGCAACCUCUAAAAAAUGCUGGUAUACCUUCAAGUAGAGGAGUAAUCCACACUCUACUAAGAAAGAACUAGCUCUAAUAUCUCAAGUUAGUGUAGUCUCGACAAACUGUCACGAACACAAAAUACAGACUUAAAAUCUAACAAGAAGUUCAAGAAGAAGUGACAGAACUAGAUUAAACAGAUGAGUACAAGAACAACACUAGAAAGGUGAAUUAGAACUCCAAGAGAUGUGUGGUCGAGACUAAAGAACUCUUCAGCCUCGAUCCCUAUAUAUACUCCUACUUAAGAAGCUUCUCGAGCUACUUUUAUUAACUAGGAAGCUUCUAGAAGGUUCCAGAGGCUUCCUUUCUAGAAGGUUCUAGAAACUUCUUGAGCUACUUCUAUUAACUAGGAAGCUUCUAGAAAGUUCUAGGGGAUUCCUUUCAAGAAGGUUCCGGAGACUUCCCUUCUAGAAGCUUCUAGAAACUUCUCUCUAAAAGGUUCCAGAGGCUUCUCUUCUAGAAGGUUCCAAAGGCUUGUUUUUUAGAAGGUUCUAGAAACUUCUCUCUAGAAAGUUCUAAGGAAUAUGUUCCUAACACAUAUUCGGGUAUAAUGACAUCCAUAGCAAAUAACUUUGCAUCCAAUAGAGCAUCAUUUAUCGACGCAUUACCUAAUAUAUUAGAUAAAUAGAAUAAGUGAUCCGCAUUGGAAGGUUUCUUGCUGGGUCGAAUGUUAAUUGUAAAGUUGAAUUCUUGGAGAAGUAACAUCCAUCAAGCAAUUCGUCCACUCAAUUGAGGUUUAUUUAUCAUGUACUUAAGUGCAUCAUGAUCAACGUGGAAUACAAAUGGAUAUCCAAGUAGAUAGUGGCAGAAUUUUUGUACAAAGUAAACCACUCUGAGGGCUUCUCAUUCGAUAGUAUUAUAAUUUCGUUCUAUAGCAACGAAUUGUCGGCUCGCAUAAUAUAUAGGAUGUUCUAAUCUUUUUUCAUCCUUUUGACUGAGAAUGGAUCCAAUAGCAACAUUGGACGCGUUCACAUAGACAUAAAACGGUUUUGUCCAACUAAGUGUUAUAAGAAUUGAGACAGAUAUCAAUUAUUAUUUCAAUUCGUCGAAUGCAAAAGUACAAUCUUCCGUCCAUAUUGGACUAGAUCUGUCUGACAUAGAUUUCCUUAACAAGUUGGUUAACUGUUGAUAGAUAACUCCAAAGGAUUCAAUAAAACACUGAUAGUAGUUAAUAUGGCUGAUAAAAUCGCCCACGCCCAUCAUCGUAUCUGGCUUUGGUAAACCCAAAAUACGAAUAACUUUAUUAGGGUCCAUAGCGAUACCUUCAACAGAGACAAUGUAUCCUAAUAGCUUCCCCGAUGGUAUGCCAAAUUGACACUUCUUUGAAUUUAGAGAUAUCCCAUAUUUGUCGCAUUAAUUCAAACAGUUAUCUGGACAUGCUAGAUAUUCAGCCAUUGUGCUAAAUGUGUAGAAAUUGUCCAGAAAUAUCUCUAUUGAUAAACAUAGAUAAUCUUAAAACGCUUGUGUCAUUACCCGUUGAAAAGUAGCCGAGGUAUUACAUAACUCAAAUGGCAUUACUUUAGAGGCGAAUGUACCAUAAUCUGUGGUAAAUGUAGUCUUCAACUGGUCCUCUUCAGUAAUUUUAAUUUGAUUAUAUCCCAAAAAUCCGUCUAAAAAUGAAUAACAUUCAUGUCCGACCACUGCGUCCAAAAUACAGUCUGUAAAUGGUAACGAAAAAUAGUCCUUCUUAAUAGGCGCAUUUAACUUCCAAAAAUCCUGACAUAUCUUGAUUUUUCCAUUCUUCUUUGGUACCAUCACAAUUGGUGACAUCCAUGCACUAUGCGGAAUAGGAUAAAUAAAAUCCACAUCGAGAAGUUUAUCUAAUUCCUCUUUCACUAAAAAAAAAUAUUUUAGAUUAAGCUGGUGUUAUUUUUGACGAACUCGCAUAAUACCCUCCUCCAAAAUAAUGCGAUGUUCAUACAUGUUGGCUAGAAUCCCUUUCAAAUCCGCAUACGACCACACAAAGGUAGAUUUGUGACAGAUAAAAAACUAUUUUUAAGCAUCCAAUUCUGUACCUAUAAUAUCAGUGUCGUAUUGUAAAAUCUUACAGUAUGUAAAAAUAAGUUAAAACAUAUUAUAUGUUGAUAAAUCUAGAUGUAUGUUAGAGUGGCUAGUAGAUUAAAUUAAAAGGAGUUGGAAUAAAAAACUUUACUUUGUUUCUUUAUUUCUUUUGAUUUUGACAUUAAAUAUAUAUAUAUAUAUAUAUAUAGGACCUAAAUGUUUAGUAUAAAGCCUUGGGAGAAGGUAGAAGCCUAAAGAUGAAGAUUUAAACUAAUAGGAGGUUAAUUGAGAGGGAUGAAACCAAAGCAUGGUUGGAUGAAGGUAGAAAUAAGGAUCUUCAUCCCCAUUGGUCGAAAUCCAUGUCCAAUGGACUUUUAGGAGGCUGCCCGCGACCUUGAUAAGGGUUUCGGCGACUUAAAAGAGGUCAUUAGGAAAUCAAAGGCAAGGGUUGUAAAGUUUAGGAUCUUGGCUACAAUUUUUGUGCAAAUUUUAUAGGGUUUGGAGUUAGGGUGAAUAAGUUAUAGCCGUUUGAAGUUAAGGUGUCAAUUUGAGACCUACUGUUACUCUAUUGAGUUUAAGAGGAGUCUUACGGAAGCUUUUGGAGAUCGGUAGGUGCGGCUGGAAGAGCAACUUCGAGACAUACAUUUUAUGUGAAGAAAAUUUUGCAUUUGGAGUUUAUGUGAAGGAGUUAUAGGGAGUUAAAGACAACGCAUUCAAAUCAAAGGCAGUAAGUGAGUGGUUUUGUUCAAAGUAGUGUUAGGAGCCAUAACUUGAGUUUUCGAACGAAAUUUUGGCUCAAACUUUGGAAGAAUGUAAACAUUUGUGUUAAGAAGCUAUCUAUAUAAGUUUCAUGGCAUUUGCACGUACGGUUUGUGAGAUAUGAAGAAAAUUGUGCGCGGGUAUAUAAAGAAUAGGGUUUGAAGCGAUUGUUAGGGUUUUGAGGAUAUCUCAAGAUCUGCGACGAAUUUGCAGUUGAAAUUUGUUGUACAAAUUAAUAAUAUCAUAUUAGUACUUCAUGUAAAUUUUGAUCUUGUUUGGACGGUUGGAUCAAGAGUUAUGAGCUGUUGAGGUUCGGGAGAAUUUCCACACAAGGAUAUACAAGGUUUUAGAGUACUUCUACCAUAAUUUGGAUGUUGUUGGUUAUUUAAGACUUAAGUAUUUGGUGUAAUUGUCCCAAAAGGAGAACUUAUGUAUAUAAAAUUAGGAUUUCCUUAUAUUAAGCUUGAUUGAGUAAUUAGUGACAGCCAAAAGUCCAACGCUUUCUUGAGGCAAAACCUCUCUAUCUCGACACCGGCAUAUAUUUUAACUAGUUGUAGCAUUUCAUUGCUGCCCAAGUUAAGGGAUUGACACACAGGGUCUUCAACAACCUCUAAUUUAAUUGUCUUCUCCUGAUUUGAAUAUCUAAUAUUAUUUGACAUAUGAAAACUAUCCAAUUCUGAUUCUAAUGUGCUGACUCUAUUGACUACGGGAUUGUUCAUCCAUUCGAUAAUAGCAUUUUUGGAGUUUGCUGCAUCCUCCAGAUGAAGUAAAUAUUCACCAAGACCUCAACAUUCGUAGACUCUUACCUUUGCUGUUGAAGUAUUUUUUCCUAUGCCAAAUUAGGAUGAAGCUAUAGCAUCGUCAUCUUCCUCCGUCGAUUGACUCUUGUUGUUCGAUGUAAAUUCUGAUUCUGGCAAUUGAGAUUCUCCAUGAUAUUGUACCGGAUACAUCUAUAGAACAAUCUUGUCAUGGCCUUUUUCAAUUAUCGAUGUGCCUCGGCCCCAAUCGUUCUUAGCUUUGGCUUGAUAAAGCCAAGGUCUGCCUAAUAAAAUGGGAUACGAUAACGUAGAAUUCUAUAAUCAAAAUAUAAUAUAAUCGAUUUUUUAUGUCAAUCCCGUAAUUAUAGUGGCAAUAUUACGUAAGAUUUCCAUUGGCUUUAUCCGACUAUGAUCUGCCAUUCGCAAGACCAAUGUUGUAGGUAGCAAUUACUUUAGAUCCAAGUCCUCCAUUUUAUCCGUGUUCAUUAAAUUCACACUGGAGCCACCAUCGACUUGUACCCUUGGAAUUAAAAUAUCAUCGAUUGAUACAUCGAUUGUUGGUGCUCCUGAAUCUAGGUUUAAGCUAACUUCAUGAAUUUCUUUUGUGCGAGAUCUUUGUCGUAUUAAUACUAAAUUUAAUGUAAAUCGACAUUCCGGUGCUACAGCCAAAAGUUGCUUCAUUGUAAUUGAAGGCUGAAUAAUAUCCAAAUCCUUCAGAAUGUCAUAGGAUUCCAUAUUGAGAGUAAUUUCCAAUACUCUUUAUCGUUUCAUUGGUUUCGAUUUUACUCCGUUUGGCAGCAAUUCUUUCUUGGUGAUUGAGAUUGUCACUUGUAAUUUUGCCAACUUUUCUACUACUAAAGGUUCUUUUAAUGUGUAAGAUCUUUUAUUGGACUGUACAAGUAUUGAUACUUAGUCAGUUUAAGAAAUUAGAAUAAUUCCUGUUUUAUUUAUUCGCUCGAUUUCCAUUCCAGCCAAACCUAUUAUUCAUUUGUACUUGAUUGACAUGCCACGAAGUUGGUUGGAUCAUUAUCUGGUUAUUGAAUUAUUGUUGUUUCUAUAAAUUCCAAUAGUUGGUAGUAAUAUGCUUGCCUCCGCAAAAGGUACAUUGUAUAGUCAUUUGGGGUGGUGAAAGAUAUUCUGUUAGUAAAUGACCUUGUUCCUUAUAAUUGUUGCACCAGACAUUGGGACGCAUAUUGGUUGGUUUAUGCAUCUUUUUCUUAUUUUUUGCUAAGUUGACACCCAGUUCCUCCAUUUUUUUUAUCAAAGUUAUCAAUAAAGCCUCAUUUGGAUCCUUUGGUCCAAUUUUACUUGAUAACUCUUUCACAAGUACUAUUUUUUGAUAUGGGGAGUAUAGAGAAUAUGGAACUGUAGAUGUUGGUGGUAUGUUCUAUAAUAGAACAGUAUUCACUACUCCUUGCAGAUUAACACUAAGGUUUGUACCAUAAUCCAGCAUUCUUAGAUAAUUGCUCUCAAUUUCACUCUAGCUUGGUAUUGGAUAACCUGCUUGAGUGAAAAUCAUUGUAGCUCUAGUGGUUAAGAAUUGAUCAUAGUAACAUUCUUCCUACACCUUUGCUCAUGCUAGUGAGGAAGCAAUAGUGGUUGGUUGGGCCUCCUUCACAAAUAACUUUAAUUCUAUUGGGUAAAGUUUGUUAACUAAUAUGGACAAAAUAAACAAAUUAGGCAUUUGGUUAUUUGGCCAUUUACUAAAAAUAUUUGCUACUCGGCCAUAAUAUAAUUGUACCACUUCUCUUGGUACCAUUUUGCUAUUCAUCAAUCUUUUCCUAAGUCGCUCUUCAAAUCCAAUUGGUCGAAAAUGGAUUCAAAAUGCCUCUAAAAGUAGGUAAUGGAGCCACGCUAGUUGUGCGAUCUCCCGCCGCACCCAUUUGGACUGCAAUUGGAAUUGUUAGUCCUCCUGACGCCAUUGAAUUUUCUGUUUCACUGAACUCCAUUUUAAAAUAAUCACUGCUUCUCCUUAUUCUGAUUUUUGGACUCUCAGUGCUCCUAGAUUUACUAUUAUUUUUUGCAAAUAGUUUUAUAGAUUGAAUUACAGGUGAAAAUGUCAGAUUUUGAUAUAUUUUGAAUUAGUCUUUAUUGGCAAGUGAAGGAGAUUAGGAAGAAAUUAAUUGUAUUCCGAACCAAUAAAAUACUAAGAAACACUACAAUGCUUCCUCCUAGUAACAAUACUCCUUCAUCAACUGAUAACAAUAAUAUGCAACCUUGCACUCUCAAAAGACCGCUCAAAACUCAAUAAAUUCUAUCCAACAACAGGAAUAAUAGACUUCACUCCAACCAAUUUGAAUUUACAGAAUUCCUAUAAUCAUAGACUUCCUCUGUCAAAACACACACAUACAACUCUCAAUAAAAAACAAUCAUAAUCUUCCAUCCAUAAUCAAUCUUCCAAUAAUUUUUUAUAUAAUUCAAUUACUCAGUACUCCAAUUACAUAAUCAAUAACUCAUAAAUCAAUCUCUGAUUUAUUCCACAGACUCACUUCUCAGUAUUCAGAAAUUAUCCAUUAUUCUUCAACAACAAAGAAAAUAAAAGAAACAAAGAGAAAGUACUAAGCUUAACUUUGGCUCAUGACUAUCACAGUUUGGCAUUUUCUUCCUCUCUCUCAUCCUCUUUAUACUACCCCGAGAUACCAACUCCUACACUAUGGAUGAUAACUACUUUUCAUGACUAUUCAUCCAUUCUACUUGUUGAACCACCUUU